GUACACGCUGUGACUAGCAUAUCAAUAAGCGGAGGAAAAGAAACUAACAAGGAUUCCCCUAGUAACGGCGAGUGAAGCGGGAAGAGCUCAAAUUUGAAAUCUUAAAGGGUUUCCCUUUACGAAUUGUAGUUUAAAGAAGUGUUUUCUGUUGAGGUUUUGGUAAAAGUUCUUUGGAAUAGGACAUCAUAGAGGGUGAGAAUCCCGUAUUUGACCUUUACUUUCAACUUUGUGAUACACUUUCAAAGAGUCGGAUUGUUUGGGAAUGCAGUCCAAAAUGGGUGGUAAAUUUCAUCUAAAGCUAAAUAUUGGCGAGAGACCGAUAGCGAACAAGUACCGUGAGGGAAAGAUGAAAAGAACUUUGAGAAGAGAGUUAAACAGUACGUGAAAUUGUCAAAAGGGAAGCGUUUGACACCAGUGUUGUUUUUCUGAAAAUCAAUUAAAGAACUGUUUAUGCUAAGUUGUUUAGACUUUAUCAGCUAUCUGUUUAGUUUUGAGCUUUUCUUUAAUGCACUUUUCAGUUAACAAGUCAACAUCAAUUUCUUUUGCUGUAAAAAAGCUUGAGGAAGGUGGCUUGAGAUUCGUCUUAAGUGUUUAUAGCCUCUUGCCUAUGCAGUCGGAGAGAUUGAGGUCUGCAGCGUAGAUCCUUCGGGGCUAAAUGCAUUUGUGCUAAGUUAUAGCAUUUUAUAGACAACUUGUUGACUAUGAUUUGUCUUGUAGCUUACUCGCUUAUGUUAUUUUACCUACGCUUAGGAUGUUGAAGAUGUAGCACAUCAU
rnacentral:rRNA from 1 species